rnacentral:rRNA from 1 species
ACGAACGCUGGCGGCACGCUUAACACAUGCAAGUCGAACGAGAGAAGAGAAGCUUGCUUUUCUGAUCUAGUGGCGGACGGGUGAGUAACACGUGAGCAAUCUGCCUUUCAGAGGGGGAUACCGAUUGGAAACGAUCGUUAAUACCGCAUAAUAUAAUUGAACCGCAUGGUUUGAUUAUCAAAGAUUUAUCGCUGAAAGAUGAGCUCGCGUCUGAUUAGCUAGUUGGUAAGGUAACGGCUUACCAAGGCGACGAUCAGUAGCCGGACUGAGAGGUUGAUCGGCCACAUUGGGACUGAGACACGGCCCAGACUCCUACGGGAGGCAGCAGUGGGGAAUAUUGCACAAUGGAGGAAACUCUGAUGCAGCGAUGCCGCGUGAGGGAAGAAGGUUUUAGGAUUGUAAACCUCUGUCUUCAGGGGCGAAAAAAGACGGUACCUGAGGAGGAAGCUCCGGCUAACUACGUGCCAGCAGCCGCGGUAAUACGUAGGGAGCGAGCGUUGUCCGGAAUUACUGGGUGUAAAGGGAGCGUAGGCGGGAUCGCAAGUCAGAUGUGAAAACUAUGGGCUUAACCCAUAAACUGCAUUUGAAACUGUGGUUCUUGAGUGAAGUAGAGGUAAGCGGAAUUCCUAGUGUAGCGGUGAAAUGCGUAGAUAUUAGGAGGAACAUCAGUGGCGAAGGCGGCUUACUGGGCUUUAACUGACGCUGAGGCUCGAAAGCGUGGGGAGCAAACAGGAUUAGAUACCCUGGUAGUCCACGCCGUAAACGAUGAUUACUAGGUGUGGGGGGACUGACCCCUUCCGUGCCGCAGCAAACGCAAUAAGUAAUCCACCUGGGGAGUACGACCGCAAGGUUGAAACUCAAAGGAAUUGACGGGGGCCCGCACAAGCAGUGGAGUAUGUGGAUUAAUUCGAAGCAACGCGAAGAACCUUACCAGGUCUUGACAUCGUAUGCAUAGCUCAGAGAUGAGUGAAAUCUCUUCGGAGACAUAUAGACAGGUGGUGCAUGGUUGUCGUCAGCUCGUGUCGUGAGAUGUUGGGUUAAGUCCCGCAACGAGCGCAACCCUUACUGUUAGUUGCUACGCAAGAGCACUCUAGCAGGACUGCCGUUGACAAAACGGAGGAAGGUGGGGAUGACGUCAAAUCAUCAUGCCCCUUAUGACCUGGGCCUCACACGUACUACAAUGGCUGUCAACAGAGGGAUGCAAAGCCGCGAGGUGGAGCGAACCCCUAAAAGCAGUCUUAGUUCGGAUUGUAGGCUGCAACCCGCCUACAUGAAGUCGGAAUUGCUAGUAAUCGCAGAUCAGCAUGCUGCGGUGAAUACGUUCCCGGGCCUUGUACACACCGCCCGUCACGCCAUGGGAGUCGGUAACACCCGAAGCCUGUAGUCUAACCGCAAGGAGGACGCAGUCGAAGGUGGGAUUGAUGACUGGGGUG